rnacentral:rRNA from 1 species
GACGAACGCUGGCGGCGUGCUUAACACAUGCAAGUCGAACGGUAAGGCCCUUCGGGGUACACGAGUGGCGAACGGGUGAGUAACACGUGGGUGAUCUGCCCUGCACUUCGGGAUAAGCCUGGGAAACUGGGUCUAAUACCGGAGAGGACCACUGCCUGCAUGGGUGGUGGUGGAAAGCUUUUGCGGUGUGGGAUGGGCCCGCGGCCUAUCAGCUUGUUGGUGGGGUGAUGGCCUACCAAGGCGACGACGGGUAGCCGGCCUGAGAGGGCGACCGGCCACACUGGGACUGAGAUACGGCCCAGACUCCUACGGGAGGCAGCAGUGGGGAAUAUUGCACAAUGGGCGCAAGCCUGAUGCAGCGACGCCGCGUGAGGGAUGACGGCCUUCGGGUUGUAAACCUCUUUCAGCACCGACGAAGCGCAAGUGACGGUAGGUGCAGAAGAAGGACCGGCCAACUACGUGCCAGCCGCCGCGGUAA